UGCAGUCGACGGUAACAGGAAGCAGCUUGCUUCUUUGCUGACGAGUGGCGGACGGGUGAGUAAUGUCUGGGAAACUGCCUGAUGGAGGGGGAUAACUACUGGAAACGGUAGCUAAUACCGCAUAACGUCGCAAGACCAAAGAGGGGGACCUUCGGGCCUCUUGCCAUCGGAUGUGCCCAGAUGGGAUUAGCUAGUAGGUGGGGUAACGGCUCACCUAGGCGACGAUCCCUAGCUGGUCUGAGAGGAUGACCAGCCACACUGGAACUGAGACACGGUCCAGACUCCUACGGGAGGCAGCAGUGGGGAAUAUUGCACAAUGGGCGCAAGCCUGAUGCAGCCAUGCCGCGUGUAUGAAGAAGGCCUUCGGGUUGUAAAGUACUUUCAGCGGGGAGGAAGGGAGUAAAGUUAAUACCUUUGCUCAUUGACGUUACCCGCAGAAGAAGCACCGGCUAACUCCGUGCCAGCAGCCGCGGUAAUACGGAGGGUGCAAGCGUUAAUCGGAAUUACUGGGCGUAAAGCGCACGCAGGCGGUUUGUUAAGUCAGAUGUGAAAUCCCCGGGCUCAACCUGGGAACUGCAUCUGAUACUGGCAAGCUUGAGUCUCGUAGAGGGGGGUAGAAUUCCAGUGUAGCGGUGAAAUGCGUAGAGAUCUGGAGAUACCGUGGCGAAGCGGCCCCUGGACGAGACUGACGCUCAGGUGGCGAAAGCGUGGGGGAGCAAACAGGAUAGAUACCUGGUAGUCCACGCCGUAAACGAUGUCGACUUGGAGGUUGUGACCUUGAGGCGUGGCUUCCGGAGCUAACGCGUUAAGUCGACCGCCUGGGGAGUACGGCCGCAAGGUUAAAACUCAAAUGAAUUGACGGGGGCCCGCACAAGCGGUGGAGCAUGUGGUUUAAUUCGAUGCAACGCGAAGAACCUUACCUGGUCUUGACAUCCACGGAAGUUUUCAGAGAUGAGAAUGUGCCUUCGGGAACCGUGAGACAGGUGCUGCAUGGCUGUCGUCAGCUCGUGUUGUGAAAUGUUGGGUUAAGUCCCGCAACGAGCGCAACCCUUAUCCUUUGUUGCCAGCGGUCCGGCCGGGAACUCAAAGGAGACUGCCAGUGAUAAACUGGAGGAAGGUGGGGAUGACGUCAAGUCAUCAUGGCCCUUACGACCAGGGCUACACACGUGCUACAAUGGCGCAUACAAAGAGAAGCGACCUCGCGAGAGCAAGCGGACCUCAUAAAGUGCGUCGUAGUCCGGAUUGGAGUCUGCAACUCGACUCCAUGAAGUCGGAAUCGCUAGUAAUCGUGGAUCAGAAUGCCACGGUGAAUACGUUCCCGGGCCUUGUACACACCGCCCGUCACACCAUGGGAGUGGGUUGCAAAAGAAGUAGGUAGC
rnacentral:rRNA from 1 species